rnacentral:tRNA from 1 species
GCGGGCGUGGCGAAACGGAAAACGCACCGGCUUUAGGUGCCGGCGCUCGAAAGAGCUUGAGGGUUCGAUUCCCUCCGCCCGCA